rnacentral:rRNA from 1 species
GUGAAAGCAGCCGCGGUAAAACGUAGGAGGCAAGCGUUAUCCGGAGUUACUGGGCGUAAAGCGCAUGUAGGCGGUUGGGCAAGUGGCGUGUGAAAGCUCCCGGCUAAACUGGGAGAGGACACGUCAGACUGCUCGGCUAGAGGUCGGUAGAGGGGCGCAGAAUUCGGGGUGUAGCGGUGAAAUGUGUAGAGAUCCCGAGGAAUACCAGUGGCGAAAGCGGCCACCUGGACUGUACCUGACGCUCAAACACGAAAGCUAGGGGAGCGAACGGGAUUAGAAACCCUAGUAGUCC